rnacentral:rRNA from 1 species
UACGAAGGGGACUAGCGUUGUUCGGAAUCACUGGGCGUAAAGCGCACGUAGGCGGAUUCGUAAGUUAGGGGUGAAAUCCCGGGGCUCAACCUCGGAACUGCCUUUGAUACUGCGAGUCUCGAGUCCGAUAGAGGUGGGUGGAAUUCCUAGUGUAGAGGUGAAAUUCGUAGAUAUUAGGAAGAACACCGGUGGCGAAGGCGGCCCACUGGAUCGGCACUGACGCUGAGGUGCGAAAGCGUGGGGAGCAAACAGG